GACGAACGCUGGCGGCGUGCUUAACACAUGCAAGUCGAACGGACAGUCCCUGCUUUUGUGGGGUGCUCGUGUUGCGAACGGGUGAGUAACAAGUGAGUAACCUGCCCUUGACUUUGGUAUAACUUCAUGAAACUGAGCGUGAUACCGGAUGGGAGAUCCUUCUGCAUGGUGGGGGUUGGAAUGUUUGGGCGGUUGGGGAUGGACUGGCGGCUUAUCAGCUUGUUGGUGGGGUAGUGGCUUACCAAGGCUUUGACGGGUAGCCGGCCUGAGAGGGUGACCGGCCACAUUGGGACUGAGAUACGGCCCAGACUCCUACGGGAGGCAGCAGUGGGGAAUAUUGCACAAUGGGCGGAAGCCUGAUGCAGCAACGCCGCGUGCGGGAUGACGGCCUUCGGGUUGUAAACCGCUUUCGCCUGUGACGAAGCGUGAGUGACGGUAAUGGGUAAAGAAGCACCGGCUAACUACGUG
rnacentral:rRNA from 1 species